CAAAGGUGAUUCGGUGAGCGAGUGAGAGAACAACUGAGGGACGAGUGGCCUCUGGCUCCUCGAGUGAGCGACCGUUUGUCUCGAUCUCUGCUAGCUACCGGCACAGUGCGAGGCCACGCCGCCCCCACCGGCCGCCGCCGCUGUGCUGGCUGCUGCGCCUGGCUCGCGCCGACGUGUUCGAGCCGAUGUUCGUCCUCGAGUUCGCGCCGGAGAGCAUGCAGCGUGCGGACGAGACGAGACGAAGCGGUAGCAUAGUAGCCGCAAACGCGCGUCGAGAUAGGCAACCUAACUAACUAAGACCACGAAAAGAACCCGACACGCGUCGGAGUACAGGUUGAAGCGGAAGAGGAAGAGGUAGUAGAGGCAGUACCGCCCGCAGUGGUGGUGGAUGUUGUCGCCCGACUCCAUGCCGCCCGGCCGCAGGUACUGCGAGCCCACCGACCACCACCGCCGGAAGUUGCCGACGCAGCGCGACAGGUACCGCCUCUAGACGAGGCGCAUGGGCUGGAGGCCGCCCGAGAUGAUGACCUCGCGGUUCGAGCGGCCGUCCCUCACCCGCGGGGAGCGGAGGACCCAGUGGCCGACCAAGUUGUAGCAGCCUGUCACCCGACGAUGCUGCUCGUGCCUGAAGAGGGACCGCGUCGACCAGGUCCACUAGCAGAACGACCCGUGGCCGCCCCGGUUGCCGCCGCCCAUGUGCCGGAGGUUCAUGCAGCACGACCGGUAGGUGCCGAAGAAGGAGCAGGACGUGCCGGAGUAGUUGUCGGAGGGGUAGGCCACCGACAGGACCACGCCGUUCGAGCCGCGCAAGACCUUGUGCCGCCCGCGCAAGUGCGACCACUAGGAGUAGGGCCGCCACCGGUUCCUCUCCCGGUCGCGGUUCAAGUAGAAGUGCGUGAAGUUGCUGCUGUUGCCGUACCCGUAGGUACCGUUCCGGAUGUAAGAGCGGGAGCCGGAGGAGUGGUCGGUCAUGAGAGACGAGCCGAUGCUGCGCAGGCGAGUGUACUAACUUCUCUGCUUCUUGCGCCUGACCUCGCCCGGCUACCCCUAGUAGUCGAGCCACCGGGAGAGCUGGUGCAAGCCCACCUAGAAGGACCACCGCGACUGCAGCUAGCACUGCCUGUAUGGCAUGGACGAGUCGGGCCUGUUGCUGCGGCCGCCGAUGCGGCAGCGGGUCCGGGAUAUGCUGCGGAAGCUGUCCUCCAUGCCGUCGCCGCACCCUCCCGACCAGACGCAGCCCCAGCAGCGGCAGCCGUAGAAGAAGCGGCCGCGGUACACGUAGCGGUCGUUGAGCUCCUACCCCAUGCGGAAGAGCUCCCUGUCCCGCUACGGCGAGAGCGCCCACACCGAGGCACACUCGUUCUUGCUCCACGGGGAGUUGCAGCAGACCGAGAGGCAGCAGCAGCGGAAGCAGUACCGGGAGUGCAGCGACCCCUCAGUCCACCGCAAGGUCCGCUACCACAGCUAGCGCUGCGACCCCGUCAUGUAGCGGAUGCGCGACGGGUAGAAGAAGGCCCACUGCUGCCGCUCCUCCAGCAAGCACGGCCCCGGCAAGGUGGAGCCCUCUAUGCCCCAGCGGCAGCCGACCCGGCGGCAGGAGACCCACCGGAAGGAGUGGCACGAGAAGAGCGACGGCCACCGCAUGGGCCACCGGUUCCUGUUGAAGUUGAUGUGCGGCCACCGGCAGCCGCCGCACAACGACGAGUCGCAGCCGCGCACCCACCAGUCGCGCUCCAAGACCAAGCUCCCCGGGUAGUGAUUACAGCUGAACAUCGAUGCCUGGUUUGUUAAGUGCACAGCGUAUCGAAGAGCAAACCUUGAAACCUAACAUAUAUCAUAUAGCCGCGACGAUUUUUAGUCAGCGCUUCAGAGUCAGCUGACCGAUCGGCAGGCUAGACAUCGUGGAACAUCUAAGCACGACCCAGUGAAAACAGGGAACAAAGCCGGACAAUUCCGCACCCGUCCGGGCGAAAACAAAAAGGGGCAGCUUGACCAUUAGGGCCAUGCGCUCGCGACGACUACCCGACCCCGACCCGACACAAAACCACGCCCAGCAAAAAUAAAAGACACAAACAAAACC
rnacentral:rRNA from 1 species